AAUCUUGCGCAAUGGCCGAAAGCCUGACGCAGCGACGCCGCGUGAGGGAUGACGGCCUUCGGGUUGUAAACCUCUUUCAGCUCCGACGAAGCGCAAGUGACGGUAGGAGCAGAAGAAGCGCCGGCCAACUACGUGCCAGCAGCCGCGGUAAUACGUAGGGCGCAAGCGUUGUCCGGAAUUAUUGGGCGUAAAGAGCUCGUAGGCGGUCUGUCGCGUCGGCUGUGAAAGCCCGGGGCUCAACCCCGGGUCUGCAGUCGAUACGGGCAGGCUAGAGUGCGGUAGGGGAGACUGGAAUUCCUGGUGUAGCAGUGAAAUGCGCAGAUAUCAGGAGGAACACCGGUGGCGAAGGCGGGUCUCUGGGCCGUAACUGACGCUGAGGAGCGAAAGCGUGGGGAGCGAAC
rnacentral:rRNA from 1 species